GAUGAACGCUGGCGGCGUGCUUAACACAUGCAAGUCGAACGAUGAAGCCCAGCUUGCUGGGUGGAUUAGUGGCGAACGGGUGAGUAACACGUGAGUAACCUGCCCUUAACUCUGGGAUAAGCCUGGGAAACUGGGUCUAAUACCGGAUAGGAGCGCCUACCGCAUGGUGGGUGUUGGAAAGAUUUAUCGGUUUUGGAUGGACUCGCGUCCUAUCAGCUUGUUGGUGAGGUAAUGGCUCACCAAGGCGACGACGGGUAGCCGGCCUGAGAGGGUGACCGGCCACACUGGGACUGAGACACGGCCCAGACUCCUACGGGAGGCAGCAGUGGGGAAUAUUGCACAAUGGGCGAAAGCCUGAUGCAGCGACGCCGCGUGAGGGAUGACGGCCUUCGGGUUGUAAACCUCUUUCAGUAGGGAAGAAGCGAAAGUGACGGUACCUGCAGAAGAAGCACCGGCUAACUACGUG
rnacentral:rRNA from 1 species